AACCCUCUUAGGAUUGAUGUCCAGUUGAAAAGCAGCAGUGCUGGGGCACCUCAGCCUAACCAGCAGGUAUUGAAUUCCCGGUCUAAGAUGGAAGAUCAACUAGCCCAGGUAAAAUCAGCUAUUGAUGAAGCGUUGAAGUUUGUACCAGAGCAAGUUCCUGCUGUCCUUGCUAAACUAUCGCAUGAGCUGCGCUCUAAAGCUGCAUCAUCGGCAUCACCGGUGCAUGAGUUGCUGGAUUGUAUUGCUAAACUGGUAACACCCAAGAGCGAUAUGCAACCUACCAGUGGUCUCUCUGAUAGUUCGUCUGGCUCCUCUAAUGGUAAUCUACAAACAGUGAGAGACAUAAAAAAUAAUCAUGCAUCUGAAUCUGCAACAGUUUCAGCUUCAAAUUCGCAACAUGCUAAAUCAUCUGGAGCAGUGUCCUGUGAUCUACUUCAACUUACAUCAGUAAUGCAUGUAGGGUUGCAAAUAAAGUAAAUAUUCAGACGUAGUGUCCGAGGGUACCCGAGGGCCAAAUUUGUGUCCUCCGGGCCGACGUUCAGGUUCAGCACACCAGUAAAUUUAGCACACACUGUUUCAGAAAUUCAGGUUUAGACAAUCACGCUAUUUCGGGACAGGUUCAGGGUUUAACCAAAAAAAAUUGACAAGAGUCCACCUGCAAUAUAAUUUCAGCAGUUAUUUACAACUUAACGUUCCCCAACUUAAUACUAUUGUGUUUUGCCAAGCAUCGUACCACACCUCAUCUCCUUGUUCCUUCCAUUCUCUCUAUCUCUAUGUAGUGGGCAUUUUAUCAAGCAGUUGGCAUGCUCGCCUGCAAGUGCCAUCUAUGCACCAUCCACACACGGAACCAGUGCAAGCGCUACUGCUAGAGUAUCCAUGGGAGCCAUACGAGCAAGCAUCCAUGUGAUGUAUGACCUACAUACAGGCACGUACGUAGUAAGUAGUUCCGCAUGUAAGUAACCUCGAUCGAGGACAGCAUGGAGACGACUCCUUCAGCUCAAGGCUUCUGC
rnacentral:lncRNA from 1 species